rnacentral:rRNA from 1 species
GACGUAGGAGGCGAGCGUUGUCCGGAGUUACUGGGCGUAAAGGGCGCGUAGGCGGUGCGGUAAGUCUGCAGUGAAAUCUCUGGGCUCAACUCAGAGUCUGCUGUAGAAACUGCCGUGCUUGAGUGUGGGAGAGGUGAGUGGAAUUCCCGGUGUAGCGGUGAAAUGCGCAGAUAUCGGGAAGAACACCCGUGGCGAAGGCGGCUCUCUGGGACGGUACUGACGCUGAGACGCGAAAGCGUGGGGAGCGAACAGG